CAGCCGCCGCGGUAAUACGGAGGAUCCAAGCGUUAUCCGGAAUCAUUGGGUUUAAAGGGUCCGUAGGCGGUCUUGUAAGUCAGUGGUGAAAGCCCAUCGCUCAACGGUGGAACGGCCAUUGAUACUGCAGGACUUGAAUUAUUGGGAAGUAACUAGAAUAUGUAGUGUAGCGGUGAAAUGCUUAGAGAUUACAUGGAAUACCAAUUGCGAAGGCAGGUUACUACCAAUUGAUUGACGCUGAUGGACGAAAGCGUGGGUAGCGAACAGGAUUAGAUACCCCGGUAGUCCCUGUCUCUUAUAA
rnacentral:rRNA from 1 species